AAUGAACGCUGGCGGCAUGCCUAACACAUGCAAGUCGAACGAGACCUUCGGGUCUAGUGGCGCCCGGGUGCGUAACGCGUGGGAACCUGCCCUUAGGUUCGGAAUAACUCCCCGAAAGGGGUGCUAAUACCGGAUAAUGUCUUCGGACCAAAGAUUUAUCGCCUUUGGAUGGGCCCGCGUUGGAUUAGCUAGUUGGUAGGGUAAAAGCCUACCAAGGCGACGAUCCAUAGCUGGUCUGAGAGGAUGAUCAGCCACACUGGGACUGAGACACGGCCCAGACUCCUACGGGAGGCAGCAGUGGGGAAUAUUGGACAAUGGGCGAAAGCCUGAUCCAGCAAUGCCGCGUGAGUGAUGAAGGCCGUAGGGUUGUAAAGCUCUUUUACCCGGGAUGAUAAUGACAGUACCGGGAGAAUAAGCUCCGGCUAACUCCGUG
rnacentral:rRNA from 1 species